GAUGAAGAACGCAGCGAAAUGCGAUAAGUAGUGUGAAUUGCAGAAUUCAGUGAAUCAUCGAGUCUUUGAACGCACAUUGCGCCCCCUGGUAUUCCGGGGGGCAUGCCUGUCCGAGCGUCAUUGCUGCCCUCAAGCACGGCUUGUGUGUUGGGCCUCCGUCCUCCUCCCGGGGGACGGGCCCGAAAGGCAGCGGCGGCACCGCGUCCGGUCCUCGAGCGUAUGGGGCUUCGUCACCCGCUCUUGUAGGCCCGGUCGGCGCUUGCCGACACAUCAAUCUUUUUUCCAGGUUGACCUCGGAUCAGGUAGGGAUACCCGCUGAACUUAAGCAUAUCAAUAAGCGGAGGA
rnacentral:misc_RNA from 1 species